AGAGUUUGAUCCUGGCUCAGGAUGAACGCUAGCGAUAGGCUUAACACAUGCAAGUCGAGGGGUAACGUGUUGGAAGCUUGCUUCCGAUGACGACGACCGGCGGAUGGGUGCGUAACGCGUAUGCAACUUGCCUCACAGCGGAGAAUAACCCGGAGAAAUCCGGACUAAUGCUCCAUACACUCUUAGGGACCCAUGUCCCUGAGAGGAAAGAUUUAUCGCUGUGAGAUAGGCAUGCGUCCUAUUAGGUAGUUGGUGAGGUAACGGCUCACCAAGCCGACGAUAGGUAGGGGUGCUGAGAGGCAGAUCCCCCACAUUGGGACUGAGACACGGCCCAAACUCCUACGGGAGGCAGCAGUGAGGAAUAUUGGUCAAUGGAGGAAACUCUGAACCAGCCAAGUCGCGUGAAGGAAGAAUGUCCUAAGGAUUGUAAACUUCUUUAGCGAGCGAGUAAGGACUUCCACGUGAUGGGAGUUUGAAAGUAGCUCGAGAAUAAGUAUCGGCUAACUCCGUGCCAGCAGCCGCGGUAAUACGGAGGAUACGAGCGUUAUCCGGAUUUAUUGGGUUUAAAGGGUGCGCAGGUGGUCCUGCAAGUCAGUGGUGAAAAGCUGAGGCUCAACCUCAGCCUUGCCGUUGAAACUGCAAGACUUGAGAGUACAUGAUGUGGGCGGAAUGCGUAGUGUAGCGGUGAAAUGCAUAGAUAUUACGCAGAACUCCGAUUGCGAAGGCAGCUCACAAAGGUAUAUCUGACACUGAGGCACGAAAGCGUGGGGAGCAAACAGGAUUAGAUACCCUGGUAGUCCACGCCGUAAACGAUGAUUACUCGAAGUAUGCGAUAUGACAGUAUGCUUCCAAGCGAAAGUGAUAAGUAAUCCACCUGGGGAGUACGCCGGCAACGGUGAAACUCAAAGGAAUUGACGGGGGCCCG
rnacentral:rRNA from 1 species